rnacentral:misc_RNA from 1 species
GAUGAAGAACGUAGCGAAAUGCGAUAAGUAGUGUGAAUUGCAGAAUUCAGUGAAUCAUCGAAUCUUUGAACGCACAUUGCGCCUCCUGGCAUUCCGGGAGGCAUGCCUGUUCGAGCGUCAUCAAACCCCAUCGUGCAAAUGAAUUAUUUUUUUUGCGCGGAAGUGACGAUUGAGCGAGAAUAACAAAUCCUCUCGCACCUCGUCGAAAUGAUUGCGGGCGGAAUUUGGGAUCGGGUUCCUCGGCGUAGUGUAUCAAUGCAUAUUUAUGCAACUUGCCGCGGAGUUGAGCCUGACCCACGCGUUCUCGCCGUACAAACACCUCAUUACUUUACAAGUUUUUGACCUCGGAUCAGGUAGGGAUACCCGCUGAACUUAAGCAUAUCAAUCAGCGGAGGA